AUGUCGUAGAGAUUACGAGGUUCGCUGCUAGAUGGCGCUUAUAUUAAAGUGCUCAGACAAAUAAAUAUGGACAAGUAGUUGGAGCUUUAUAAUCUGUAUAUAGACUUAAUAUAUGGUUAGAGGUAUUCCACAAGUAACGAAAGGUAUGGAAUCCGAAACCGACUUUAAAAACAAAUGUCACAUAUUAUCUGUGCAAUUUGUUGAUUGUACUCUGUAAGAAAGAUGAAUCGGUAACUUUAUAGCUUUGCUAUUGGUGAGGUUUUUUAUGAAGAAAGUCCCGUUAUCUUCUCGUUAUAUACUCGGGCACGUUCGAGUUUUUUUCUUUUGGCUGGCUGAAAUUUGGAGACAUGUAGUUGACUUUCCAAAACAUUAAAUUUACUUAGAGGCAGUGAUGUAAGAUACUUGGUAAGACUCGAAUUUAUAUUUGGUUAGCAUUCGUGAUUAUCGAAUUUUGUUGUGCUAAAGAGACAAAUUCUUGCAGUUCCGGUCAACCAUAAAAAUUUCCCGUGAGAUGUUAAGAUGGCUACCUACUGGGAACUAGGGCGGGAUAUCCUUUUAAGGUACUCGGUUGAAAUUGUUUUUUUCUUUGUCCGGCGUAGGUCAAACUUUAGUGACAUGUGCUAACCUCCGUAUUUUGUUACAGGAUGGGAAUGUAAUAUAUUCUGAACUUAACCUAACCUAUAUACGUGACCUAAUGUAAUCACACUUCUUCUUAAUACAACCACGUUAUUAUGUAGAAACGUAGAUUGGUUGUAGACAUUUGAAACGCCGGUUCUGAAACCUUUGGUCAUUCUUGGAACAUUUUUAUGGAACCUGAGUUGACUAUUACAUUUAAUCAUUUGCACGCGUCGAGUAGCAUGCUGUUAGCGGCGUAAAUCUUGGAGGUUCGCUGGCCGCCAGACAAAAUGACGGACGGAUGAAUGCAACAGCAAGGUCAGCGACCGCGUGGUGUCAGCUUCCAUCAUAAACGUCAGGUCGUACCUAUUCUUUCUUUUGUUAAAUGGAGUCAUGCUAAAACUUCUAUUUUUAUAUAUUGUUUUUUUUAAAAGGAUGCGUUACAUUAAUUGUUGGUGGUGAUUCGGAUAUACCGUUCAGAUUACAAUAAGAUUUAGAGAUAACUAGACCUCUUUCGUGAGUGUUUAAAAUGCAACGUGUUUGUUGUCCCUUUAGUAUAAACGUGUGUAAUUGCUAAGCGAACUUAAAUGGAAUCAUCCUUGUGGAUUUGGCUGGUAGCGAUGUGAAUUCAUAACUUCUAGUGCGUUGUUCGACGGACCCACUUUAAAUACCUAGCCGUGGCAGUGGUUUGGUCAACAAAAAUCCAAACGCUAUAUCGACACCAUCUAAUCCCCAAGGAUUGGUAUAAUAAAACAAAUAUUUGAGAUAACCACUGUUUAUUUACAAAGUAUGUACAAAGUAACUUAACAUUUAGGAAACCUGGUUUUUUUUAUGUAAUUUAACCCAUUAAUAUUUUGUCCUUUUAGGGUUUCUCAAGGGUUUAGCAUUACUUUUAUAUUGUAAAAAAAAGGGUUCAUCUAAAAAUAUAGAAGCCAAAUACCGGUGAUUACUGUAAAAGUGUUUUUUUUGUUUACUUAACCCCGCAUCCUCCUACGGGUAUAGAUCCGAAAGCCAGAAUCUCGGUGGUAACAUUUGAGAUUCUGGUCUACAAGCUGUAUGUUUGGCUGGUGACGCACUAGAAAUUUCAUCCAAAUCGUUUCACAAAAACCGGCACAAACUAUAAGGCUUGCAGUGGCGCCUGGGGAUUUUUUUUAUUAAUCCUAAAGGAUCUGUACAACGUGGGAGAGAAAAGGGAAUAAUAGAAUCAUCCGAACACCACUCUAACAAUAUUUUUUUUUGUUUUCUGUUCCAAUUUCUAUUACUAUAAGAUUUUGUUUCAGCAUAAGCUUAAUAUAAAAUAACCCAUGAUCAUUUUUUUUGUGAUGGUGUAUUUGGCAUAGUUAGUUAUGUUUAUAGAGAAAUUUAAUUACUGAAUUUUUAGUUAUUAUUGUUAUUUUAAGUAACUCAAUAUUAAUUUAAUGUUUUAAAAAAUAGUUGUACCAUCACCAAUAAAUAAUGUCAGGUCAUAGGGAAAUACAGUUUCACUCUUUGAGGAAGGAUGAGCUGGUAUACGAGGUCUCGAUCAGAUCCGAGACUCCGGGUAGUACUGUAGAUGAGCUUAGGAGGCAGAUGCGAGGCCUCAUGAUUGAGUGCCCCUCGACUGCCAUAUUAGAAACAAAUAUAGACAGCAACACCGAAUUAGUAAUAAUUAAUGAUAAGUUAAAUGAACUAGCCACAAUUAUUGAAGGAUGGGGAAAAUCAGGUGAUAGGGGAUCUAUAGCAAGGGCAGAGGCCCUAGCCUAUCACCUGUUUCAUAGAGUAAACAGAUUGAAGGUCGACGAAUCAGCUAAGGUUUCAGCCAAGGUCGGGGAGGCCAGACUGAGAUUAGGAAAAUUUAUUGCAAUCAUUGAAGCGCCUGGAAAAAAUGUUUCAGAACAAUUGUCUACAUCUUCUAAGCCGUCACCUUCAGCGGAGGCUUCGGAAAUAGAGUGCUCCGGGGACAAAAACCUGGCGAAGUGGAACCUAAAAUUUAAUGGCUCCACCGAUCCGCGCUCCUUCGUCGAACGAGUGGAGGAGCUUCAGCUUUGCUACGGUGUCUCUGAGGCUAAACUCUUCAGGUCGGCGGUUCAGCUGUUUGAAGAUCAGGCACUACUCUGGUACAGAGGUAUCAGAGAUCAGGUACGCUCUUGGUCUGACCUUAAAAAUCUUUUAUUAGAGGAAUUUGACCCCGUCGAUUAUGACUAUAGGUUGCGAGGAGAGAUAAGAUCUAGGACGCAGGGGGCUGAAGAGCCCGUGCAUAUAUAUUUUUCUAUAAUGGCUUGCUUGUUUGCUCGGCUGAGGACUUCGAUGUCCGAGGUCGAAAAAUUAGAAAUUCUAUUACACAAUGUACGCCCAAAGUUUUCGCAGCAGCUCGCGUUGACAACCAUUUCAUCCAUAUCGCAGCUGAAAGAUGCAUGCAGGAAACUCGAAGCGGCCAGUCAAAGGGCCACACAAUUUGCUGAGCCCGGCCGUUCGAAUUCUAUUUUAACUCCUGAAUUUACUUAUAAAAAUAAAAAUAAAAAUGUGGCAUAUUUGGACAACGAACAAAAUUUUCAUUCAAAUCAGGUUCAUAAUGACCAGGGUCGUUAUAAACAACAUAGCAAGUUGCAUCAAAAUCGGUUUUAUAACAGCCAGGGUAAAUAUGAACAUGGUAACCCUCACAACAAAGGACGGGUUAAUGAUAAUGACCAAACCAGGGCAGGGCCGUCACACACUGGUAACAAAUAUAGAAACCAGCGGUUAGUGAGGCAUAACGUACACUGUUACGGUUGUAAAACCCCUGGGUACACGAAGUUUACGUGUCCAAAAUGUAACAAAGCGGCUACUAGUCCAAAAAACUAGUCUGCUCGAACGAUGCCAGCAUAAAUAAAAAAUUUAAAAAAUUAAAAAGUUUCGGCACUUUGGCAUCUGUUCGAUUUCAACCAAAAAAGAAUGAUAUUAGGCCUUAUCUUAAAUUUAAAGUAGUCAACCUUGAAAUUUGUGGUCUACUUGAUUCAGGAGCAUGCAUCUCAAUACUAGGUAACAACUCUCACGAAAACUUCAUCAAAAUGGGUUUCAAGCUAGAAAAAUUUAGUAAUAUCUCCUGCACCGUGGCAAAUGGUGUUAAGCUGGAAAGUAUAGGUUACAUGUACCUACCAAUAACAUGUCAUGACACUACCUGUGCCAUUAAAUUUUUUGUUAUACCUACAAUAAUAUCGGAUAUAAUAUUAGGUAUAGAUUUUUGGAGGGCAUUCAAUAUCGCCCCAGAGAUACUAGACUGCAUUGACUAUAAGUAUCAACCAGCGAGCUUCUGCGAGACUUUGAGUACGAAUAGGGUAAACACUAUUCAGUCUUUGGAAAAUCUGUCAACCGAGCAGAAAGAACUAGCAAAUGCCAUUAUAGGGAAAUUCCAUGACAUCUCUUUUGAAUUAAAAGGUCUUGGUAGGACGUCCUUAAUAGAGCACGACAUCGACACAGGUGAUGCUCUACCCAUUAGGGUAAAACAAUAUCCGCUAUCGCCGGAAAAGAAGGUGGCGUUGCAGGAAGAGUUAAAAAAGAUGUUGGCAUUAGACGUCGUUACUCCCAGUGAAAGUCCGUGGAACAACCCAGUUAUUUUAGUCAAAAAGGCAAAUGGUGAUUGGAGGUUCUGCUUGGACUGCAGGAAGCUAAACGCAGUGACAAAGAAGGACUCGUAUGCUAUACCAUACAUUCCUCAAAUACUUGAUAGUUUGAAGGAGGCCAAAUUCCUGUCGACUAUAGAUCUGUCAUCUUCAUUUUGGCAGAUACCUCUAUCAGAACGUUCACAGGAAAAAGUGAGUUUCCAAAUUGAAGGGGCAGGAUUAUUUAAAUUCAAAGUUGUGGCCUUUGGACUUUGUAAUGCUCCGGCGCGGCAACAAAGAUUAAUGGAUAAAUUAAUAAAUCAAAACUUUUGUAGUGACGUAGACAAUGGUUAUGUUUUUUGUUAUAUAGAUGACAUUGUGAUAUGUUCAUCGGAUUUCUCUACUCACUUGUUGUUGCUAAAUAGAGUCCUGGAUAAAUUAAAGUCAGCUAACUUGACAGUGUCUUUUGACAAAUGCAAAUUCUUUAGGGAGUCAAUCAAGUAUUUAGGUUAUGUAGUUGAUGAGUUUGGGUUACAUACGGAUCCUGAUAAGAUCUCUUCAAUUUUAAAUUUUCCGACCCCAACCACAGCCCGGGAAGUAAAAGUAUUUUUAGGAACUUGCUCUUGGUACAGGCGAUUUAUUCGUAACUUUUCAACAAUUGCAGCACCGCUGAACAAGCUGACCAGCAAAGGGAGGAACGCGCCGAGGUUCCAGUGGAACGAGGCAGCUGACAAGGCCUUCUCGUUGCUAAAAAAUGCAUUGGUGUCAGCUCCAGUAUUAGCAGUUCCUGAUUUUAGUAAGCCUUUUACUGUCCAUUGUGAUGCUUCGUCGUACGGUUUGGGGGGAAUGUUGUCACAGAUGAUCGAGGGUCACGAUCAUCCGAUAGCUUAUGUUAGUAGAUCUUUAAAUAAGAAUGAAAGGAACUACAGUGCUACGGAACGGGAGGCCCUAGCAGUCAUAUUUGCAGUCGAAAAGUUCCAAGCGUACUUAGGAAGUAGGAAGUUCACGAUAGUUACAGACCAUUCGUCUUUAAAGUGGUUUUUGAAUUUGGAAAAUCCUUCUGGUAGGUUAGCUCGAUGGGGUUGCCGACUGUCUCAAUUCGAUUUUGAGAUAGAACAUAGAAAAGGCACAGACAAUGUAGUUCCUGAUGCUCUAUCGCGACUCAUGAAAGUUGAGGCAAUCCAUGCAACGUCUGAUACACCUACCUCAGGUAUGAAAGAUGAAUGGUAUGAGAGGAUAAAAAAUAAUUGUGUUUCUAAACCUACACACUUUCCAAAUUAUAUGGUUAAAGAUAAUAUUUUAUUUCGCUUAAGUAAAAGCAAGUAUGAUCUAAUAAGCGAGUUUGAUUGGAAAGAGGUCAUUCCAAAAGGUUUGAGAAACAAAAUUAUAAGUGAGAACCAUUGUGAACCAACAGCUGCACACCUAGGUGUUUUUAAAACACAUAGACGCUUAUGUUUAAGAUAUUUCUGGCCGGGUAUGUACAAAGACAUAGAAAAUUUCGUAAAAUCAUGUGACGUAUGUAAAGCAUAUAAACAUUCUACACAAGCAGUCCCUGGUUUGAUGGGGAAACCAAAGGUAUGUUCACGUCCCUUCCAAGUAGUGAGUUUGGACUUAGCGGGUCCACUUCCACGAAGUAGGUCUGGAUACACAUAUCUGCUAGUAAUAACGUGCGUUUUCUCUAAAUACACUCUACUAUUUCCGUUACGCCGCGCAACAUCAGCGUUGGUGGCUAAAAACUUCGAAGACGGGUUGGUCCUGGUACAUGGAGCGCCGGAGACGGUAAUCCUGGACAACGGAACACAAAUGACCGGUUCCGAGUUCAGGAAUGUCAUAAAGCGCUACAACGUGCCAAGGCUUCACUAUACUCCUCGUUACACUCCGCAAGUAAACCUGGUAGAACGCUACAACAAAACAAUUAUGACCGCUGUAGCGUCGUAUGUAGAAGAGGAUCAUCGAACCUGGGACCUAAAUCUAAGAAAGAUCCAGUUCGCAAUAAAUAGCGCGAUAAAUGAAUCGACUGGGUUUUCACCGUUUUUCUUAGUACACGCCCGUGAGCCAGUGAUAAACGGAGAUUUCUACUUAGAUACGCAGAGUGAGUACAAGGUAGCUAUGCCACGUGAUGAAUAUGCUGGGAAGUUUGGAUGCAUGGAGGAGAUUUAUGAUAGUGUUCGCAAGAAACUUCUAGAGGCACACGCUAGGAACGCACAAUAUUAUAACCGUAGGCGAAGAAAUGCUAGAUUCGCAGUAGGGGAUUGGGUAUGGAAAACCACAUAUACACAAAGUGACGCGCAAAAAUUCAAAAUGGCAAAGCUUGCUCCUAAAUACGAAAAGUGUAAAAUAGUCAAAGUAUUGUCACCACUAGUAUACGAACUAGAGAGGAAAGACGGUACAAAAAUAGGCUCUUGGCAUAUUAAAGACCUAAAACGGUAGACUAACUCAUAUAUUCGUCCAUAAAGUGUAUAAAUACUAAGUUAGGUACUUAAACACACAAGAAGAAUGGUAAAGUACACUUAUAAAUACAAAUAGGUUACUACAGUUUGAUAGAGUGAUGAAUGAAAGGUCAGUAUAAAUGAUGAGGUAGGUGUGUAUUAGAAAUGGAUGGAUCAAGUUGGAUUGGGUUAGUCGGAAAUUCCUGAAAGGUGAUUAGAGAAAUAUUAUUAUCACGCUAUGAACAAAAUAUAGUUCGUGAGAUAUUUACUGUGCUGUGUUUAACACAGAGACGCUUUGUUCCCAGAGAUCUGUUAGCAAUCGUUGUGCUAGGAAUUAUUCCCAGACUCUGGGCAAUUAUUAUGGAGUCAUAUGAACUCAUUUCACAUGGAGACUCAGUCCCAUGUUGGUAUAUGGUAUAGUGAUAAAAUGUAUUACAGUUUGAAAUAGGCUGUGUUAGAUCAAGCUGCAUGAAGCAACAAGAUCGUUUAUGAUAUUUUCAUAAGUUAUUCUCCAGUAGUGUUGUUUAGUUUUAGAAUUUCUUAUAGAGUUAGGUGGGCGUAGUUUAAAGAAGAUAGUGAAUAAUUUAGGUGAUUGAACCUAACAUUAUAAUAGGUAGCCGGAAAUUAUUGUUAUUAGUUGCCGACGAGCAAAAAUAGAUAGAGUUAUUAUGUUUGCUAUUAUUUUAUGAGAGUAUAAAUUCAAGAUGUAAAAUAGAACCAGGCAUUUUUGUUACAGCAAAGGGAAACCGGAACAAGUAUCUACAUCAACGUUAGUUAUAGUUUAAUUUUAGGUAUCAUCGGUAUUUAGGUAUAUAUAUUUUUUUUUCUUUUACUUAUAUUUUCUUUAUGUAGUUUAGAUGAGUGUUUUAUUCCAUUAUCAGUGUUAGCAUAGAGUGUUUUUUUUUUUUUUUUUUAUAACGUCGUUACAGAUGAUUGCUUCUUAGAGCGCUGAGGGCAGCGAAAGUUUUUUGGUAGCAAAAAACUUCUACUAUUUUGGGGGGUAUUGUAACGUCGUGGAUUUUAAUUUUGGGUGGUCAAAUUUGGAAUCUCUAGGUUUGUUUCGAAAGGCAGCGACAUCGAUGAAUGUCGUAGAGAUUACGAGGUUCGCUGCUAGAUGGCGCUUAUAUUAAAGUGCUCAGACAAAUAAAUAUGGACAAGUAGUUGGAGCUUUAUAAUCUGUAUAUAGACUUAAUAUAUGGUUAGAGGUAUUCCACAAGUAACGAAAGGUAUGGAAUCCGAAACCGACUUUAAAAACAAAUGUCACAUAUUAUCUGUGCAAUUUGUUGAUUGUACUCUGUAAGAAAGAUGAAUCGGUAACUUUAUAGCUUUGCUAUUGGUGAGGUUUUUUAUGAAGAAAGUCCCGUUAUCUUCUCGUUAUAUACUCGGGCACGUUCGAGUUUUUUUCUUUUGGCUGGCUGAAAUUUGGAGACAUGUAGUUGACUUUCCAAAACAUUAAAUUUACUUAGAGGCAGUGAUGUAAGAUACUUGGUAAGACUCGAAUUUAUAUUUGGUUAGCAUUCGUGAUUAUCGAAUUUUGUUGUGCUAAAGAGACAAAUUCUUGCAGUUCCGGUCAACCAUAAAAAUUUCCCGUGAGAUGUUAAGAUGGCUACCUACUGGGAACUAGGGCGGGAUAUCCUUUUAAGGAUGGGAAUGUAAUAUAUUCUGAACUUAACCUAACCUAUAUACGUGACCUAAUGUAAUCACACUUCUUCUUAAUACAACCACGUUAUUAUGUAGAAACGUAGAUUGGUUGUAGACAUUUGAAACGCCGGUUCUGAAACCUUUGGUCAUUCUUGGAACAUUUUUAUGGAACCUGAGUUGACUAUUACAUUUAAUCAUUUGCACGCGUCGAGUAGCAUGCUGUUAGCGGCGUAAAUCUUGGAGGUUCGCUGGCCGCCAGACAAAAUGACGGACGGAUGAAUGCAACAGCAAGGUCAGCGACCGCGUGGUGUCAGCUUCCAUCAUAAACGUCAGGUCGUACCUAUUCUUUCUUUUGUUAAAUGGAGUCAUGCUAAAACUUCUAUUUUUAUAUAUUGUUUUUUUUAAAAGGAUGCGUUACAUUAAUUGUUGGUGGUGAUUCGGAUAUACCGUUCAGAUUACAAUAAGAUUUAGAGAUAACUAGACCUCUUUCGUGAGUGUUUAAAAUGCAACGUGUUUGUUGUCCCUUUAGUAUAAACGUGUGUAAUUGCUAAGCGAACUUAAAUGGAAUCAUCCUUGUGGAUUUGGCUGGUAGCGAUGUGAAUUCAUAACUUCUAGUGCGUUGUUCGACGGACCCACUUUAAAUACCUAGCCGUGGCAGUGGUUUGGUCAACAAAAAUCCAAACGCUAUAUCGACACCAUCUAAUCCCCAAGGAUUGGUAUAAUAAAACAAAUAUUUGAGAUAACCACUGUUUAUUUACAAAGUAUGUACAAAGUAACUUAACAUUUAGGAAACCUGGUUUUUUUUAUGUAAUUUAACCCAUUAAUAUUUUGUCCUUUUAGGGUUUCUCAAGGGUUUAGCAUUACUUUUAUAUUGUAAAAAAAAGGGUUCAUCUAAAAAUAUAGAAGCCAAAUACCGGUGAUUACUGUAAAA